CUUAGUAUAACACCCAAUAUGAAAUAUUAAGGCUAGGACCCAACACAAUAUUUUAUAACUUGGAAGAGGGAUGUCGUAAUCCAAGCUAUAGAAUAUUUGAAGGUAGGCGAAUGAUGAUUCACCAAUUUCCACCAUGAAAAUGAAAUAAUUUAAUUAGGUUUUACUUGGAUUUGAAACUCCUAGAUCUUUUGAGAUUCAUUGAACUGUUCAAUGGCAUGUUUCAAUCUCGAGUGUGCCCUUCAGGUUUUCUGACUGGGAUGUCGAGGAUCACAAAAUCAGGUGUGAAGUAACCAUGCAAAUUACUUGGUACCGUUAAUAUUUAACCCUUAAUCGAUGUGUCAGUUAACCACACGCGCUCCACCAAUACUAUGAUGAAUAUUAAGUUACCCUUUGCCUACCUUGUUAAAUCAAGCUAGUGUGCCAGUUAACCACACACAAUCCACUAACCGACUUAAGUAAAGUGCAAAAUGUAAUUUCAUGGAUUAGCACCUUAUUCACAUUUUCCUAAAGUAACUAAGAUUGGGAAUUAUAAAAACAUUUUAGUUACUUUCUAUUUAUCAUUAAUACUUUUUAAUGAAGGGAGAAUUAUAGUCCUUGUCCUACCUGUUCGGCUAACGACCCUCCACCAGUCAAGGAAGCGGUGGGUGAGAGUGGACACCCAUUAAACUGCCAUUUUAUAUGAAGUAACCUUAUACCCCCCUUAUAGAACGGCUUCGUGAAUGAGGCCUAAUAAUGGUAAGACGACUUGCUCUUAUACAUAUAUAUAACUAUUAUUAACUUAAAAUAUUAUAAAGUAUAAGGGCUUAACUUGGAAUUAAAUAUUCAUAAGGGAAAACUUUUCAAAAUCCAAAACUUGAGGGCAUGUUUUGAAACUAUUCACAACUAUUCAAUUUCCAUAACUUAUAUGUUUAAAGAAGUUUUAAUCCAAAAAGUCUUCAAGUUCCAUAACUUGAGUACAAGUUAUGGAAGUCUUUAAACUAUUAAAAGAAUGUGACUUUUCUUUAUUCAUAAACUAUGGAAAUAUUUGUGAGUUUUAUGAAUCUUAAAUGUGACUUUUCAUAUAACUUGAGGAAAAGUUACAAAAACACAUUUUAGAAUCAACUCUUAGAUUAAUUUGGAUUGAAAACUACAAUUUCACAUAACUUUUCUAUUAAUCUAACCAACUCAUAAGAACAAGAUAAUUCAAAUCAAACUUUUUCAUGUAAUUAGCCUAAUCCUUAAACUAAUACAAAACAUGAAUCUAUUGACAAUUAUCUUUGAAAUUGGAUUUUCAUGAACAUUAACACAUCAAAAACAGGUUUAUAGGUUGAAAAACAGCUUAGGGUAAUGUUCCUAGUCCAUUUCCAGCCAAAACAGUCGAAGAUAUACUCUCUGGGGGUCCAACUCGUCGAGUGCAUGAACCAACUCGACGAGUUGGAUCGUUCUGAACACUUUUAAGGAAUGGAAUCGUUGAGUCACCUGAUGGACUCGCCGAGUCCAUUGUCUAGACAGCAAAAAAACUUCGAUUUUUAAGAAGAUUUUGCAAGUAUAACAUGAAAACAAGCCUAGGCUCUGAUACCAUAGUUGGGUUUUGAGCAUUCUAACAGUCCUAAGUGUACAUGCAACCCUAAAUACCUUGGAUCUAUGUUUUCUCUAUUAUACAUGCAAAUAUGAAUAUUCGAAGGUAUUACCCUAACUAGCAUACAAUCUUUUCAUACUUGGGUAAUACGAUGGAUAGAAUACAAACCUUGUUUAUGUAGCUUGACUCCAUGAAGCUUGAGAGCCUAGUGCCUCAAGUGUGACACCUCAAAUGGUUCACACAACAUCACCAACAUAUGGAAUAACCAUGAGAAGAAGACACUUCAUGCUCAAAUUGGCUUGCCCUCAUAUAUGUAUUACUAGUGCCAAUUUCUUGAGCUAAAGGGGGCUUUAUAUAGUGUGGCUAUUACGGUUACACCAUGUAACUCAUGACUUUACCCAUUCCUUAUGCUCCAUGGGUUUUAACCUCCAUGGAGUAUCCAUGGGUCACCACAUGGGUUAAACCCAACAUAAGGAAUCUUGGAUCAUAAGCCUACAUAUAUAAGAAUUAAUGAUUUACACAAUCAAUCCCCAUAUAUUUAAUUAGUCUCUUUUGAUCACUAAAUUAAGUCCAAAUUAAUUCUUGAUCAAUACUAAUUAAAUAACAUGAUUUCAUAUUAAUAUAUUAGAACUUAUAAUAUAUUAAUAUGUCACAAAUGUCCUCUUCUCACAAACGGUCUAUCCAGAUGUUUCGAUGCCAUGCAACCCAAAUGGACCAUGCCGAGUCGGGUCAAGUACAUACAAAUUAUAGUUAUGGACUUAGAAACUAAUCCAACAAUAACGAGAUACACCUUUCAACCAAACAACUUCUAGCAUGCAUAUCAUAGUUUCAUUCAAAGAUGAAAAAAUAAAAAAUAUAACAUGCAUAUCAUCAUAACUAUAAACACACAAUAAUCCUCACUUUUAGCAUGGACCUAAGCUUCACAUAUUGUACCAAAUGAUUGAUUUUAGAACUCUAGCAUACAUGAAAUUACAAAAUUCUUUUAUAACAUCAAACUUUACACGUCUAUUUUAUAUUUUACUCUUGACAUACAAUUUAUAACAUCAAAUAGACCAGAACAUGAGUAUAGGUGCGUGUUAUCCUUCCAAAUUAGUGUUAUAACCACACAAGAAAUGACUCAAUUUUGUUAAAAAUAUUUGGAUUAAUUUUUAUCUUGAUUAUGUUUCUUUUUUUCUCCUUCUUGUUUUCUUAUAGAUCUUAUUAUUUGUCUGCCUUCUUAAGGCCUUCUUUGUAAUCGUAUCAUGUCAAAUUUUUAAAAAGAAAAAAAAUCCGUUUAUAAUAGUAUCUGAUUAGGAUCCUUAACUACUCUGUGAAAACCCUAAAUCGCCUCCAUUGGCCAGCGAUGUAGGUAAUUCCAAUAAAAACAACAACAACAUGCCAUAUUAUGACUUGCCUUACUAUCUUCACCCAUCUGAUUACCCUAGACAAAUGCAACUCAAUGAAGCUUUGUGUUAUAAAAAUUAUGCAGAAUAGGUUCCAGAGAUGGAUAAUUUCCUUUUCUCAAAAAAUCAGAUCGGUUUCAUAGAUGGUACCAUUAAUAAACUGGAAAAGACAUCGAAGGACCACUUUGCAUGGAUGAGAUGCAACACCAUUAUAAAGGUUGGCUCACCACUACGAUAGAAAAAGAGAUAAGAGGGAGCGUUAAAUACGCCAAUAAUGCUUCAGAAAUCUGGUGAGACCUUCGUGACAGAUUCAGGAAAGAAAGUGCGCCUAGGGGUUACAAAAUAAAGAACCAACCCACCGUCACUCGCUAAGAUGAACAUCAAUCUCUGCAUACUACACCAAAUGUCGAUCUCUAUGGGAUGAGAUCAAUUAUGUCUUUCCCACUCCAAAGUGCACUUGUAAUGGUUGUACAUGUAGGUACCUUUCUUUCCCUUAGAAUGAAAUUUCAUUGCAUAAUUGGUCCCUUUGUACGUUGGACGUACUUAUGGGUAUGCUUAGCAUACUAAGGAGGGAUGAUCAUGGAGGUGUACCACAUACGUGGCGCGUACAUGGCUGAAGACCAAAACCCUAAUACUUGGACUUGUGACCUAUUUAAACGUCCUUUAGUCAUUUGGACCUUACCCUAACCAGCCUACAUCACUCUCAAACGUCCCUAAAACCCUAAAAACAUUUGUGUGUGCCUCUUAAGCUUGUAAGUGCUUCAAAUACCUCAUUUUUGUUGUGUUAGAAAAUAGAAGGAAGUGGAAGCAAGCUUGAACGUGGGAAAAGCUUUUGGAUCUUGCAUUUGGAGCAGCUUAGGAAGCUUGUAGAGGUAAAAAUCUUUCUCCUUGCUAAUCCUUGUUGUUUAUUGAGCUAGGGUUUUCUAAGAGUCCUCUUUUGAGUUCAUAAAUCAUCUCUUGGGAGUUUAGGCAACUCCAGAGGUUAUGUCAUAAAAAUGCAAACUUGAUGGGUUCUAUGGCUCCAUGCAUGAGUUAAGACCCUUUGAAAGAUCUUAAUAUUAUUAGAAUGAGUUGUUGGGAGCAUAUAUAUGGCAUGUAAAGGCAUAAAGCUGCCAACUUUAUGUCGUAGGACUCUUUAAUCGAUCUAGAUCUAGAAUUAGGAUGUAUAGUCUUCAUGUAUUAAGCACUUAAUUAAGGAUGUGCUUUAUCCAUUUGUAAGUUGGGCGUACCAAUCUGUACGAUGCGAGUACAAUCAAGUAACCCACUACGCUUAGUGUACUUUUGAUGUAUGUCGGGCGUACACUCAGUUGUAGGAGUUGUGCUUUGGUGGACUUUUUAGGCCAAUUGGACUUCACUUAGCUUCGGGCUUGGACCAUUUGGAGAUGUUGGGCCUUGAGAUUUGCUUUGGGUUAUUGAUGUUAUGUAUGGGAUUUAUUGGGACAUGUGGCUCAUUAUAGAUUUAGACUUUAACCAUAGACCCAUUAAUGAAGGAAAGACUUUUGGGCCCUAAUGGAAGGAUUUGGAGUUAGGAUUGUGGGACUUUUUAGCUAGGUUGUGUUAUAAUUCUAAUCAGGGUUAUUUGUAUAAUUGUUCAGUGUGAUAUUUUGGACUAGUAGUCAAGUAGCUAUUGUUCAGUAGAUUGAAUUGAGUCGUCUCACUACACUCAUGGGUCAAAGGUACCAAGGUCGGCCCAUUAAUUGAUAUGAGAACUUUAGUGGUUGAGUACGUAAUGGUUUUGCUAAUUGGUAUAUGUGUUGACUUAUGAGAAGACCAUGGGGGAGCCCAUGACACUUGUCAAUACCAUGGGGGGAGCCCAUGGCCCUUGGAUACAAGACCAUGGAGGUAGCCCAUGACAUUCCAAAUUAAGACCAUGGAGGGAGUGCAUGGAAAACUNGGAAUCCCGGUUGAAGACCAUGGAGGGAGCCCAUGGCAGAUUUAUGUGUAUAUGUGCAUGAAAUUGUGUGUUUAUGUGUUUUAUGUAUUUUGGGAAAACUCACUAAGCAUGUGCUUAUAGUUUUGUUGGGUGUUUCAGGUAUUUCUGGUUCUAAGGGCAAUGGCCCGACUUGACGGAGCAGUGUGUACUCUCCAGUAUUUCCGCACUAGUUGUUUUGCAUACUCUGGUCUUUUGAACAAUAUGUUAGUAAUGGGAUUUUGGAUAACAAAUAUGAAUUUGAUUUCUAAUUAUUAAACGAAAAAUUUUACCUAAGUUUUUGGGUUGUUACAAGUUGGUAUCAGAGCCUUAGUUUGAGGGAUCCGGGCACACUCUUGGGUGUGUCAAAACUUAAACCUAGGAAAUGGUAAACCCUUUUUCAAAAAGAAACCAAAAGUUCAAGUUUGCAUGAAAACGGUUUUUGUAAGUAAAAAGGAGAGAGUGCAAUACGUGUAAUCGGCCGAGCUCAAGUAAGUUUUCCCAAUGUGCUAGCCAUGCUAUAGUUAUAUUUUGAAAUUGAUGAUGAAUUGAUUAUUUGCUGAGCAUGUGCUUUCAAAGUUGUAUAUGUCUAGGAUUGUAUAGCCCUAGAAUGAUGGAUUAUGCCUUAUUUUUGUUCCUUGUUUGGUUGGGGUAUAGGGUAGAAGCGUAUUUGACAGUCUAUGUGAUUCUAUUUGUGCAUAACUUGCAUGCAUAGGGCAACCUACUAUGAUUGACUUAAGUUUCUGGUUUGAUGAGGAUUGAGGAAUCCUAGAUUAGUCAAGGAUUUUAGUUAUGUUGUAUUAUGUGGAUUAUGUUAUUAUUUUUGGGUGAAUUAGAAGUGUCAGAUAUGACCCCGGAAAGGUAUAGGUAGGUGUGGAAGCACAUGACCUGUAUCGAAAACUAUGUCAGACCUGGAAGCUCUAAGGGGUCCAGUAAGAAGGAACUCCUUCGAACUUUCUUAUCAAUUUAUACCAUGUAGUAUCUUUUCAGUUGAGGAUUGUGAUGAUCACCCAAGGUUCAGGUUCAGCAUCGGGUUCAGGCUCUGGUGCAGAGCCCAUUGAUGAGAGGCUACACAAUCUCAAUGCGGCUGACGUUACUUGUGGCAUCCUUGAUGCUACCCUGGUGAUCUUUGGUACCAUCAAGGAAGGGAUUAUGGAGAUCAUGGAGGAGCGGCUCAAAUCUUUUCGAGCCGAGAUUGUUGCGGGUCAUAUUGGGACUCAAGCUCCCUCAUUUAGUGAGUUCAAGUCAUGUUGUUCUUUAGGGUUAGGGACCCCAUCAGUAUUCGACGUUGGGUGGUAGUGUUAGGUCAUAAUUUGUUGGUUUGGGCUAGGCAUCUAUCUUUAUAGGUCUGAUAGGGUUUUGGGUCAUGUAAUAUGUGUUUGAGGUUGUGUUUACAGUCGAGUAGGGUUCACGGCCGUGAACCUGUUCACGGUCGUGAACGUGUUUGUGGCUGGUGGUCAUAAAAAAAAGCGUGCCAGAUGUCUCAGACGCGUAUGUGUGUGUUCUAAGUGUACUAAAUGUUUACGGUUGAAUACAACGUGUGCAUUGUUGGAACUUCUUUGGUUCUACUCCUACUAAUUCUUACUAUUUUUGCAUCUUGAUUUUGUUUGAUCACUGGUUGGUUCGCGUUUGUGGGACUUACAAUUGGUUUCAGAGCCAUAUCGGUGUCAAAACGUAUUCAAGUUGUGUUUUCGGUUGAAGGAUUCUUCUAUUUCGUCAUUAUUCAAGUGGUUUGUGUGUUUUCUGCAUUAGAUCGCGAAGAUUCAAGGCCAAAGCAAUCGAAAUCAGCUAAAAAUCAUUUGUUUCUGGGCAUUUACAGUUUUACUUGUUGAAGUGUUUACGGUCGUGAACUCUGUGUACGGCCGUGAACCAUUCAUAUACAUUGACCGUGAUCAUAUUGUUGACCGUGAAUCAUUGCUGGACUAUGAAUCACUCGUUGACCGUGAACUGUUAUUGACGGUGAAUUGAUUGUGAAUCGUAAACUGACCGUGAACCAUUUUCUAUAUACGGCCAUGAACUCUGUACGGCUGUGAUCUCUCUUGGUUAUAAUACCUCAUCGUUUACAGUUGCUUUUCCUUAAAAACCAUUAUUUUCAAUUAAGAAAUCACAAAAAAAAUUUAAAAAAAUAGAAUCACAAACUUUAACAGCUCAUUAAGAAUUGGGCUCGAUUAUGGGUACCACUACCAGAAUCCCACGCUUAUUAUCUGCUGAAGGUUUCCCCAAAUGGAAAUAUCACAUGGAAAAGUACAUAAAGAUAAAGGACUUCAAGAUUUUGAGAAGCAUCUUGAAAGGACUAGUUUGAAUCACCACAACACUUGAGAAUGGAAUAGUUAUUGACAAGGAGUUUGAAAACUACACCGAUGAAGACUUUGAGAAAAUUGAAGAGCUAGAGAAAGCACUCGCCACACUCACCGUGGGUCUAUCUCCAGAGAUUGCUCAGGGUUUCAGAGAAUACACUUCUGCAAAAGCUUUGUGGGAAGCAUUGAUUGAGGUAUACGAAGGAAAAAAGGAUAUGAAGCAGAGUCGUCAGGACAUGCUUAGGCAAAAGUUUAAUAUGUUCAAUCAUAUUCUGGGAGACUCCUUAGAAGCUCAAAUGCAGAGGUUCAUCACUUUAACUACUGAGAUGAGUUAUGUUGGUAUUUUGGUCAUAAAGUCAGAGAUCAACAAGAAGCUGUUGAACUCUCUCCCAAGGGCAUGGGAUAUGAAUGUUGUUGUUAUCAAGAAAACAAAGGAUCUUAACCGACUUAGUCUUGCUGAAACCAUGUCUAUAAUCAAAGCAUGUGAUCUUGAUGACAAGCGGAGGGAAAUCAAUCAUGUGAACUCGUAUUCAACUAAAAAUCUUGGGAUCUCUACAAAUAAUGCCUUUUAAUCCUUUACAACUCUACAAGGUCAAGUGUUUUUUGCUACACCACAAGGUCAAGUGCUUGUUGCUCCACAACCAUCAUCUUAUGUUUUUCCACCACCAAUGCCUUAUCAACAAGCUAAUUCUUCUUCAAAAGCUCAUGCUCUAGUGUUUGCUCCAAAAGAAGCCGAAGAAAAUAUGGCCCUUGCAUCUGGAUUGGUGAACUGCUACAACGCCUUUGUUGCUGGAGAGUUUCCUCCUCAGAUUUCAUUUGCCGAUCUUUAUCAGAUACACCCUAAAGAUUUUGAAGAGAUGGACAUCACUUGUCAGAUUACGAUGGCGGUGUUCAGGGCAAAACAAUUUGCAAAGAAGACAGGGAAAAACAACUAGGGAAUGAAUGUGGAAAAGAAGGUGGGUUUCAACAAGGCAAAGAUUAGAUGUUUUACCUGUCACGAUCCUGGUCAUUUUGCUCGUGACUGUUCAAAACUUGACAGGAGAGUGAAUCAUGAACGGACAAUGGUACUAGUCAGAAACAACAGGGGAGCUGCUACUGCUAACAACGAAACUGCUAACAUGGCAGCGGUAGCUCGGUCAUUUGACUGGGAAGAUCGGAUUCAGGCCCUGAACAUCUCAUGACCUGAAAAUGCUCACCUUACCCAGAUCAAUGAUGUCCCAGAAGAAAAAGUUGAAGUGGACCCGGAAGAAGAAAUGAUGGAGCUGCAAUUUGCCUUUAUGGUAUAGACUACCCUAGAGUCUGAAAAGAAGGAGGUCAGUGAAAUCUCUUGUUCUCAAACUUGCAUUAACACUGUUAAAUUUUUAUGUGAGCAAAUUGAAUUGAUAAAAGGGGAGAACGAGGACCUUAAAUAUGAGGGGUACAACCUUAGGAAAGGCCAGAACCAUUAAAAGAACAACUAGAGGCCAAGACUAAGGACUUUAGGAAAUUGCAGGAGGAGUACAGUAACAAGUGUGAGAAGUAUAAUUACAUUAAGAAACAACUUGUUGUAACUGAAGAACAUAACACAUUGAAGAUCCAUUUUAAAAAUGUUGAUUUUAACUUCAAGAAAUCCGAUGUGUUAGGUGAAAAGGUUGAAACUAUGAUUGAAAAAAAAUGACAUGGAAAGACCAAAAACAAGUAGGUCUAGGAUAUGCGUGUGUCUAUCCUCCUAUCAAUCACAACUAUGUUGCUUUACCUUUGACCGCAGAGGAGAUAGACAGAGAACCAUUUCCUGUGUAUGGAAAACCUACUAUACCCGUGACGGAGAGUAGUGCUAAGGAAAAAGAUAGUAACAUUUCUACUUCCCAUGCAGAUUCAUCUCGAAGUCAAGGAAACAAGGAGUCUAAAGAGAAUAGUGCUAAUAAUAAUUUUGUUUUGAAAAAUGAUGUUUCUGUUUUAGACAAUAUUGUUUUUGUUUCUAAAACUGAUGAUUUGAUUGGUGAUGAUUCAGUGUCAAAUUCUGAUACUUUAGAUGUUGCUUGUGGUGAUGUAUCUAAUAAUUCUGAUGUUUCUGUUAGUAGCACACACACUACACCUAUACCUGUCACACAACCUAAAUCAUGCACUUGUACAUGUCGAAAGAGUAAGGGAGUUGACAAGAAAAAAAACCAGAAACGAGCGGUAUCAGUUUUUGCGAUAAAAAGAAAACAUGUUUAACUGUGGAACCGCUGGUCAUAUAGCUUGCAAUUGUCCUAAUCGGGCAUUUGUUCAUUUUUCUGCACCAAGAAGAGAAAAUGAGUCACGAGGAAGGUCUCUCACGAGAAAGUCCUCGAGAUCUUGUCUUCGUGAUGAUGAUUAGAAUGUUCAUAAGGACAGAAAAAGUGAUGAACUUAAAAAGGAUAAAAAUGUUUUCAAUCAAACAGCCACAAGUGCUUUGACGAAAUCGAAUUUGGCCAUGCCAAGAUCGAUAUCGUCAAAGACAUCGUUUGGAUCCUCGACUAAUCCUAGCCAGAAAUCCAAACGCUCAAAACAAAAGAAAAAUAUUUCAAAAUCACCUAUGAAUAUUUCAAAACCUAAAUACCAAUGGGUGUCCAAAAAUCAAAAUAUCCAGUCAUCUCAAUCUUCUAAUAGUGCUUUUGGUAGUGAAUUUAAAUCAAAAAUUGAAAAAGAAAAAUUUGUUGCUAAUGCCAAGGGAAAACCUAGUGGUGUUAUGACCUGGGUUCCUAAAUCUCAUUAAUCCCAUGCAUUGUGCAGGAACAGCUGUGUGGGAUUGUCGUCAGACCUUGGUACAUUGACAGCGGUUGUUCCAGGUACAUGACCGGAGACAUCCCAACUGCAUGACAUUCAGACAUUUAAUAGGGGGUAUGUUUCCUUCGCAGGAGGUGAAGGAGGGAAGGUCACUCAGAGAGGAAUUGUCACCAAUGGAGUGCUAAGCUUUAAGUACUGUCACACCCCCGAACCAAACGGCGGAAACAUCUAGGGGCUUGUGCGGGACUUCAUCCUUGUAGUAUCAUCACAUAGUAUAUAAUUGAAACAUAACAUCGUCAUCAUCACACAUGUAAUAUAAUAACAUACAUUGUUUACAUCGAGUAUUGUCUUUAAAUAUUACAUGCCAAAAUAAUCAGAGUAUGAUGAACAAAAUAUAACAAAAUAUCCAUUUAACUGUUCAACCCAACCUGCUUCAGCGGUUUCCCGAGAAUACAAGUUAAUUGAAAAAGGUCAACAUAAAAAUGUUGGUGAGUUCAUAAGCAUGUUUUGAUAAAAUGAUUUGUACAACUUUGUAAUCACAAGAAAAUCCUGUAUUUUCUUAAAAUGGUUUAGUGUGUUUGUGUGCGAUCUUAUAUUAAUGCAUGUAUGUUUUUGUUUAGUGGUAUCCCAAAAGUAAGUAAAGAGAAUGUAAAAAGAAUGCCCCUAGACAACCCUGUGUUGCCUGUAAAAGAGAGUGUUCCCGUACCAACCCCCGAAGUUGAGUACCAGUGUGAGUAUGUUCCCGAGUAAUCUAAGAGAAAAGUGAAUGGUCUCCCGUAAAUUUUAUAACGUUAAUUCCUCUAUGUGUGUUGUUAUAACCAUGCUAAUUAAUGAAAAAUUCGCCUGCCUUGGCGUUGUUGAGCGCCGACGGAAAAAUAGAAUAAGAAUUUUGGUCACCCUAGACUGAUGUAGUCUAACUGUAGCGAACAGCUUAGGUGUGGGGUGUCAUCCCUGUAUAGAUCUAUACACAAAUCCCCGUUCUCCUUCCAAAAGACUCUGGUUAUAAUUACAGCCUACGAUCGUACACACAAUAGGUGUCAACCGACACGUUCUACUAGAUCCUUGAUCGAAUUUUACGCGAAGAGAAGCAUAUAAAACUCAUUCCGGGCUCAAUGAACCAUGUAAGCGGCCACUAAGGCUCACUAAACACGUAAGUUAGUUUUAGGCCCAAAAGAAACGAGAUUUUAUGACAUUGCCCAAAAUAUAUGUAAAUGGACAUCUAAGGCCCAUUUCACAAGUAAGGUAUUUAUAGGCCCAAAUAAUAUGCAAAUAGUAUCCAAGGUCUGCUGCCCAUGUUAAUGGGUCAUGAGGCCCAAUAAGCAUAUAAAUAGUAUUCAGGACCUGUCAAGCAUGUAAAUGGGCCACUAAGGCCCAAUAUCAUCAAAAAUGCUAGAAUUAGCCCGUUUGUUAUUGUUUUGCUAUUAUUAGUUCAAUUAUUUACUAAAAUAGCAUAAAAAUCCCACUUUUUGUAAAAUUGACAUUAUUGGCCCAUUAAGCCAAAAAUUUACAAUUAAGGGCCAAUUUUUUUGUAAAAAUACAUUCUUGGCCCUAUUUUGAAAAAAAAAACUUGUAUUUUAAGGUUUGUUUUUGUAAAAAUCACAGUUUUAACUCAUUUUUGUCAAAAAUAUCAUUUUUGGCUUGAUUUUUGUGAAAAUAUACAUUUUUGGCCCAUUUAUAGAAAAUUUCAUAUUUUUUGCCCAAAUAUUCAUAAUUUCGCAACUUUGACCCCUUUUAUCAAAAAUUUACAUUUUUGACACAACUUUCUUGGAAAUGACAAUUUAACCCACAAAAGACCAAAAAUUACCAUUUUGGGCCCAAAACCGUAAGAAGCCCAAAUAAGGCCCAUUUAUUAAAAUAUUUACAUUUUCGGUCCCUAUAAGGUUUCCAUUGUCGAGUAUAGCCAUUGUUUAGCAAAAAUUUCCUUUUGAACCACAUACUAGCCGAGAGUUACAAAAACAACCCAUAUUUUGUCAUUUUUGACAUUUUUAGCCCGUUUCAUGAAGUUUUCUUAGAUUCAAGUAUUCUUGAUGUAUUUUAAACCAUUUUAUUGUGAGAUAUGUUGAAAUAAGUGUUAUGUUAUACCAAUAUCAUCAUCUUUUAGUAGAUCUUUUAGUUUAUGAAUUUUACAACACAUAAACAUAUAUGUAACCAAAGAAAGCACACAAAAUUAUGCAUACACAUAGAUCUACACAAAACAACUUGUAUUCUCCCCCAAAACAAAGUAAAAAUCGAAAAUAGGGGGUAUGAACUCACUUUGCUUUGAUGUUUUCGGUUUUUGGUGAUGAGAUAAGGAGAUCUCGACCCUAGCAAGCUUCUUGAGAAGGUUUUUGAACUUAGAUGGUUCACAAUGUGAAGAUUGAAGUGAUUCUCUUAAAGUCUUCCUUACCCACGAUUUUCUUGAGAGAAGAAGGGUGGAAGAGAGUUGAGAGAAUAAGGGUUGAGUUUGAAUUGAGAGAGAGAGGUUGGAGAGUGAGAGAGUGGUCGAGAGAUAGAGUGAGAGAUAAGAGAGAAGUGGGAAGUUGACUUUGGUGGAGAGUGAGUUGAUGUUUGCCUUGAUACAUGCAAGUAAUAGUGAGGUGUCACUCCAUUUCCCUUUCAUUUGCUUCUUUUUUGUUGUUGGGCCGAGAGAGAGGAAGGAGGAAAGGAAAAGAGAAGAUUUUGGACCCUUUCUUGUCUUAGUUCGAAAUCGUGAGGCCCAAAAUAAAUAUUUUUCAGCCUAUUGGGCCUUUAUGAGGGUUUACAGCCCAAAGGAACACAAUGAUGGUAGUUUACGGCCCAUUAGGGCUUUAUGAAACUAGUUAUGGCCCAUUAGAAAUAAGAAUGAUCAUUCUAGGCCCAUAUGACCCAAAACACUUUAAUUUCAUGGAUGUGGGUCCAAUUAGAGCCCAAAUAGGGUUCCUAGGCCCAAAGUAGUCAAAUUGAAAGUUUAUUGGUCCACUAGGCCCAAUAAGAGAAUCCUAGUCCAUAAUAACCUUGAACCAGGAAUUUUUUAGGGUUUUCAAUCCAUAAUUGAACAUAUGAGAUGUAUUGUAUUAGGUUUUGAACUUCAAUCAAGAGUUUGGAUUCAAAUGGAUGAUUUCGGGUUAGCAUAUAGCAUGAUAUUCACUUAGAGUACAAGUUUUACAAUAGCUGAUAUUCACAUGGAAAUAUAAUUUCCUAGCUGAAAAUGCUAGUUGUGACAUCAACUUUGACUCCGAGUUGAAGCAUUGUUUAUUGAGUGUCUCUCAAAUCAGUGACAAAGGCUAUUCUACCCAUUUCACUGAUAAAGAAUGCCUUAUCUUGAAACCCAAUAUUAUCAUCCCUGAAGACUGGAUACUGGUGAAAUAAAAAAGAGACGGGAACGCUUACAUCAUCGACAUGAAUCAUAAUAUCCCGAAACAAGUCACGUGCCUCUUCUCUAAAGUCUUAGAACAUAAUGCGAUGCUUUGGCAUCAUCGUCUCAGGCAUGCAAACGCCAAGAAACUCAAUCGUCUUGCAAAGAAUGAGAUCGUGUGUGGCCUUCCAAUUAAAGACUUCAUAACUUUUGAAAAAUGUGAGACGUGUGCUCAGGGUAAACAUCUUAGAAAGCUCCAUUUGCUAAAGGCGGUUAAUUCAAUCAGCAAGGUUCUCCAAUUAUUGCAUAUGGAUUUGUUUGGUCCUGUCAAUGUCCUCAACAUCAACAAAAAAAUUUACUGCUUUUUUGUGAUAGAUGACUACUCGCAUUUCACUUGGUCUUCUUCUUAUUCAACAAGAGUGGGAUCUCAGACUUGAUCAAGAAGUUUGUGGUGAUGAUUGAGAAUCAGACUAAUGAGAAGGUGAAAGUGCUCAUAAUGGAUAAUGGUACAGAAAUAAAGAACGCCGUUAUGGAUCCCUUUUGCACAGAAAAAAGGGAUAGUGUGUCGGUAUAGUGUCGUUCGGACACCUCAACAUAAUGGUGUUGCGGAACGGCGAAACUUAACAUUAAUAGAUGCCUCAAGGACGAUGUUGUGUGAUUCUAAACUACCGGUCUUCUUUUGGGCAUAGGUGAUCAACACUGCCUGCUACGUUGAGAAUUGUGUGUUGGUCAACAAAGCUCAGAUGAAGACUCCAUACGAAAUUCUAUACAAUCAAAAGCCAUAAGUUUCUCACUUCCGUAUCUUUGGAUGUCCUUUCACCCUUCUUCACCUUGAUUCCAACCCCAAAUUCAACUCUAAAGCCAAUAAAUGUUACUUUGUGGGAUAUAGAGUGCGUACAGCUUAUUGUGUUUACAACAAGAAUAAAAAGAAGAUCGUGGAAGCUUUUGAUGUUUGCUGGCUGGAAGAAAAUGAGACAGACGCCUGAGUCGUUCCAGACUGCUUGUUUGAUUACGCUUCUUUAUUCAAAUCAUUCAGAGUGUUUCAGAUGAUGUAUUAGACAGUUGCUCAGGCUUGAAGGUUGUUCUUGAAGAUGAAGAGGAAGAGGUUGUCUACAGUCCCCCAUUGGUGUCUUCUACAUCUCCUUCGGUGAAUCAAGUUGUUCCAAGUUCUCCUUCAGAUUCCCCAACUCAUAGAAUCAAUCCUGAUGUUGAAGCCACUCCACUCACUCCAGCUGAAAGAGACUUCAUGACCAGAGAUACUUCUGCUGCCACUCAAGCUUUCAUGGAGCUUCUCUUUCCCGAGACAAUUGCAAAUUAGUACGUGGCUAGCUCCUCUCACAAUUCCAGAUCAUCUGAGGAGAAUGAUUCAACAAAUGAUGGAUUCAUUAAUAUCAACAAUCUUCAUGUCACGCUUAAAGAUAUCAACCAUGAAAUUCCUACACGACUGCAACGCGGUCAUCAUAUAGAGAACAUCAUUGGUGAACUAGGCGAUGUUGUUCAAACAAGAAGUCAGAGUGGUGACGUAAACACAUGCCUCUACUCUUGCUUCAUCUCUCGGAUAGAGCCAAAGAAUGUCGAAAUGGCGUUGAAUGUGCCUAGUUGGUUUGAUGCAAUGCAUGAAGAGCUGAAUAAAUUAGAGAAAUUAGGGGUUUGGAAGCUGGUUGAACUACCCAAAGGAAAGAAGUCACUAGAUACCCGAUAGGUGUUUCUCAAUAAACAGGAUGAUUGUGGGGUCAAAGUGCGGAAAAAAGCACAUUUGGUUGUUCGUGGCUUUUGACAAAUCGAAGGACUUGACUACACUGAGUGUAUGCUCCUGUAGCACGUCUUGAAGCUAUAUGUAUCUUCCUGGCGUAUGCAUCCUACAUGGGGUUCACUGUAUAUCAGAUGGACGUUAAGACUACCUUUCUUUAUGGAGUUGUGAAACAGGAGAUUUACGUUGAUCAACCUCCCAGUCUUGUCAACUCAAAGUUUCCGAAUCACGUCUACAAAUUGGACAAGGCACGAUCUAUCAGACGCUCUUUAUAAAACAUGUAGAUGCCAAUUUUAUCCUUGUUCUAAUCUAUGUCGAUGACAUCAUCUUCGGGUUAACAAGCCAGAAGCUCUGCAAGGAGUUCGAGACGAUUAUGAAGAAAAGGUUCGAGAUGAGUUCUUUGGGAGAAAUGACGAUGUUUUUGGGUUUGCAAGUACAUCAAAUCUCAACCAGAAUUCUGCUGCACCGAGGAAAAUAUGUUGAAGACAUGCUUGAGAGGUUCAGGUUUCAAGACUCAAAAGCUACCUUGACACUGAUGGCUGAAUGACACCUGUUUUCUAUAGAUGCUGAAGGAGAAUCCGUAGAUUAGACUGAGUACAUAUCAAUGAUCGGAUCCUUGAUGUAUCUAACUGCGAGCAGGCCGGACAUCAUGUUCGCAGUUUUUCAAUGUGCACGAUACUAGGCUAAUCCUAAAAUCUCUCAUUUUAUUGUUGUUAAAAGAAUCUUUAGGUAUCUCAAAGGCAGCCCAAAAUUGGGUCUUUGGUAUCCAAAAAAUUCAUAUUUUGAUUUAUAUGCAUUCACUGGCAGCAAUUAUGGAGGUUGUGAACUUGACAUGAAAGCAACGUCUGGGGGAUGUCAAUUCCUAAGUGACCAUCCGGUUCCAUGGAAAUGCAAGAAACACCAGACAGUCUCAACCUUAACGGCGAAGGCAGAAUAUGUUGCUACUUCUGCCUGUUGCUCUCAAGCCAUUUGGAUUCAACAACAAUUAAUGGAUUAUGGUUUGAACUUUCUAAAAACUCCAAUAUUCUGUGAUAACGAAACUGCAAUCCAAAUAGCUAAAAAUCUUGUCCAGCACUCUAAAACCAAGCAGAUAGACAUCAAAGUUCAUUUCAUCAGAGAUUGUUAUGAGCGUUCGCUCGUUCUGUUAUAACAGGUUCCCACUGCUAAUAAUGUGGCGGAUCUGUUCACAAAACCAUUUAACAAAGCUCGAUUCGAUGUGCUGGUUGGUUUUCUUAAAAUGAUUCGUUUUGAGGACUGAUUUUUGUUUUUAGGUAGUUUAAAUUUGCACAUUUCCUUUUCAUUCUCCCCAUGCACAAAUUUAUGGGGAGAAAUAAACAAAAACAAAACAAAAAUUAAAAAAUCAGAAAAUCCAAAAAAUAUGUUUUUGAUGGAGUUUGUUUUCAGGUGAUGUGUAGGGAAGUGAUAUCAACCGAGUGAUAACAUACAAUUUUGGUUUGUGUAAGGUACCAACAUUGAACUGUCUAGGCUCUGUGUUCGAUGUGAUGGUAGGCACAAAAGAUUUAAAGGGACCAGACUAGGUAUAGUCGCGUUUGAUCUAACAAUACGACGCUCGGUUAGAUUGAGCAGUGAGAUAUACAUGGGAAUCUGAGGGCCUCACUUAAGUAAUCUAUAUCUAGAACUGUGGCAUAACUUUUCUUCGAUGUAUGGACGCAUGUCCUUAAUUCUGGUACUGAUAGGGAGACUGGGGAAUUCUGAUAAAGUAUGUCUGUAGAAGGUUGUUUUCUUGCUUUCUUUCUGUUAGUCCUAUGUUGCCUCCUCUCCAUGAUUGGAAGAUCCGACCUGGACUGCAACAUAUGCAAUUGUACUUCUAUUCAUCUUCUUAUAUAUGCAAAUUCUUUCUGACUGUUAGUCAUAUGUUGUCUCAUUUGCGUGAUAAGUCCUUAUCCGACCUGGAACACGACAUAUGCAUCAUUCUAUUUCUCAAUCCAUCUAUCCAGUUAGUCAUAUGUUUAUCCCUUUGUCUGAUUGGAAAAUCCGACCUGGGUGUACAACAUAUGCAUUCUAAAUCUGACUUCCCUCCUAAUAAUUGUCUGCUCACCUAAAGUAAGGAGUAUUCUGGAAUUUCUUGAUUAUCGGAGUAUAUCAGGAAGCGGGAAACACGUUCUAGUACACCUAAAAUUGAACAUUCAAUAGGUUGUCUGUAGAUCUCGCUACUAAAUUUAGGUGGACAACAAUAUCUGUGGUCGUCGUUAGCUAAAUGGUCUUGUAGAAAUAUUAUUUAGUAUCAUAGAGUCAAAUACCUUGUCAUUUGUAUUAUGUCCUCAUCUAUCACAAAUUUUUGUCUUUAAGUGGACCACAAUACCGGCGAUUGACCAGAUCUAGUCAAAAAGGUGGAGGUAAUGAAAAACGGACUACGACUGUCCUAAAACUUUGAUCCUAAAAUCACAAAAAAAAAUAUCUGCAAUGGUGAAAAAGAAAUUUGUGUUACGUUAUUUUAUUUUUAUUUUAUUUUAUCUUAUUUUAUUUUAUUCUAUUUUUUUCUAAAACAUUUAGUCAAAAUUAGUUUAGUUUAAAUUUUUUAGAUUUUACUUUAUUUUAUUUUCAUUUUUAAGUCCUCAAAAUGUUUUUUAUUUUUUAAAAAAUUGAAGUAUUGGGCUUAGUUUUGAAGCUUCUUGGGUUUGCAGCCCAUGGGUACUGGACCAGGUAUGGGUCCAAGUAUAAAAGGUUUGAGUUCUCGGCCAUUUNNNNNNNNNNNNNNNNNNNNNNNNNAUAUAUAUAUAUAUAGCUAUUCUUGAUUCAUCCUCAUUUUGUGUUUUUUGUCGAAAUUGCUUGCUGAUUUGUGUAGGUACGUUCAAGGCGACAUCAUUCAUGCUAAAUAUAACAGGAAUCGAUCGUGUUUAGUGGGAUUAUUGAAUGAAAUCGCGUUUUUGACAUUGUUGAGGCAUUCACAACUAUUGAACCAUUCACGGCCGCAAACGCGUUCACGACCAUGAACCUGUUUACGGCCGUGAACCCUCUUAUGGACUGUUAAGACCGCUGUCAUACACGAUUUGAAAUAAAUAAAAUAUAAAAUAAACCACUUUAUAGCACUAACAGAUAGUACGGGUAAGCAAGGUCGGAUCCUCUGCGACACGUCCUAACGUUUAUACCUCUUCGCGCAAGGUAUGAACUAAUUCUUGGUAAAUGCCAUAACAUAAAAAAGGGGGGGAAUUUUAUUCUGAAAACUAAACAAUAGAAAUUGAAAAUGACAAGAAAAUGACUUAAUGUAAAGUGAUGAAAAUUCAAAUAAGAGAAAGCAAUUCCAGUUUCACGGUGACUCCCCUAAUCAUAUAAUUAACCUUCAACACAAUAUUUGACAAUGCACUUGUUUAAACUGGUACAAAGGUUCAUUAACAAGCUCUAAUGACCUUUAUUACAAAAUUAUUUAAUCUAAAUAAGUUCUUUGAAUUAAACCUAACUUUUAACUAAAUUAAUCAAACAAGCUCUUGAUCAACAAAGAAAAGUUGCAUUAGACACAGUGUAAUUUCCCAGUAAAGUUAAUACCUCUCAUAAGCUCGGAGGCGUUAAAACUUGUUUGAUCAAUCCAUAUUAGACUUAACCCUAAUCUCAAAAUUAAUCCAAUAUAUGUCACUUUUACUAAUCAAUCUAGACAAUUACGGAUCUAAACAAUUAGAUUACUAGAAUGAUUCACAAACAAUUCAAGUGGCCAACCAAAAUCGAAAUCAGAAUCAAACACUCAAUUUAACACAGGAUUGAUCAAACUAAACAGUAAUCAUAGUCAAACAUAGUGCUUAAUGAUUAAUCAUACGAGAAGGUUACGUCUUGAGAAACUGAAAUAUGAGUUUUUAGCCUGACAUGGCUAAAAACGGGUUACAAACGAUGAAAAUAAACCCUAAACAGUGAAUCUUACUAAACUAUAACUUGGAAUCGAAUCGUAUCCUUAAGAUCUGCGUUCUUCACUUGAAAACCUCUGAAAAUCACCUUUGAAUCACCAGGAAUCGCCAAUUAGGGUUACUGGAAGGGUAUCAGGCUGUAUUUAUACGUCUAGCUGUCAAAACACCGUACCUACAAUCGCAAUGGGUAAACCUGCAAUCGCAUGUAUCACCCAAAAGUACGUCACAAAUUUUUUUAAUGAAGUACGUUGCUAUUUCGACGCAGUUUGACCAACCUGCGAUCGCAAUGGCACAACCUACGAUCGCAAGUAUCUCCUUUUCUCAAGUGAUGAAUUUUUUGGCUCGACAAGUCCUCGUAAGCAACCUGCGAUCGCAAAGGGAACUUACGAUCGCAAGCUGCUUCUUCUGGCUCUUUUGGUCGUUGUUCCUCCUUCCAAACAGUUCCUGAUCAUUUCCCAGCAUCUCUCCUUAGUAUAAACUCCAAUUAAGCUCCAAAGCAUCCACAAACACAUCCCGAACGUACGCAAUCAUCCAUAUGCUCCAAAUGGCCCUGAAAAAUCAUAACAAACGUGAGCAGUACGGGCAUUCUACAAAAUAAUCAUGAAACAAGAAAUACAUAGGAAUAAUCGGGAAUUAGUUAGCUUUUUAUAAUGAAAUGCGUAGGAAAUUGUGUUAAAAGAUGCAUAUAAAAUGCAUCUAACAUGGACAUAAACACAAUUUUUCCUCAAUUAAAAUCAAAGUUAAAGCCUAACUAAUUGAUAAUUGAGAGAACUUAGAUUUUAAUUGCUUAAAUAUUUGUUUUCUCACUUGUCUCGGUUGGUGCAGGAAAAUAAUGGCAGACUUGAAGUUUGCAGAUAUCCAUAGCCUUGCCAUUUUUUUUGUUGAUCCACCAGCUGCACAAAGUGACUUCAAGUCCAUGAUUCAUGGACUGAAGAAAUGUUGUUUGACAUAUGCUAUCACAUCCAGUCCAAUGAUUUAUCAAAAUCUUGUGAAGCAGUUCUGGAACACAGUUGUGGUGUGCAAAGAAGAUGAUGAUGCAAUCUUAUUAGAAGCAACUGUUAAUGGAAGAUGAUCACUGUAACAGAGCAAGUCAUCUGCGAAGUCUUACAGAUCAAUGACAGGCUGGAUUUCCAGCCGAGAUCCCCAUGGACCAGACCGAGGAGAUUAUCAAUAUAAUGGGCUAUGAGGUGUGUUUCCUCCUACGAUCAAGAAACUAUUGCCACCCUAUUGGAGGUUCCUGGUCUAUGUGUUCGUGAGUUGCAUCUCUGGAAGGAGAGCUGGUGCUGGCGAGAUCUCGUUACUAAACACGGGUGCCAUUGUUGCUCUCACUACGGGUCUCGAUUUCAACUUUUGUAAGUACAUCCUGAACGAGAUGAUAAACAACUUGGAAGGAAUGAAGAAAGAAAUUUGUUGAUGUUCCCACGAUUUCUACACAUGAUCUUCAAUAGAAAAUACCCAGAACCUGAGAAAAGAGGAGAAAUACUUGAUUUGAAGUCCCUUGGUUCCACCACUUUCAGACUCAUGAAGCAAAACGGAAAAGGAAAGUUCAUGUUCCAAGGAAAAUAACCUGUGGUGAAAUUUGGCCAAUUUGCAGAAGUCAGUAAUGCGUAUGAGACUGAAAGUUCAUCAGCUUAUGAAGAAACUAAAGAUGAAGUGAUUACUGCUUCUGAACACGAAGAGGAACAUGUUGCUCCAGUGGCGAUUGUUGCCGAAGAGCAUGUGUCGGUAACAAUUGAAGAAGAAAAUGAUGAUGAGGAUGAUAAUGAUCAUGAUGAGAGUGAUUUCUAGAUGAACUUAAUGGAGAAUGUUGUAAAUGAAGAUGAUGGUGAGGAUGAUAUGGAUCAGGGUGAAGAUCUUACCGGUUAUGAUAAUGAAGAUUUAUUCUUUGGUUCUGAGCAAGAUCAAUAUAUAAGAAUGAGUAUUGAGGACCUCGAUGAUUUCUUCACAUAUGUCCAUGAUGUUGCACAACCGGAAACGGAGACAGAGGGAGUUUGUGAUGUUCUCAAUGUGACGCCUCCUACCUCUUAAUAUAUGGUUGAUCCUUCAAGGAAUGUGGAUACAACUUCAAGGNCCCACCCUUCCAGUUGUUACUUCAUCCUCUGUGCCGUUUGAAAGUGAUCCUUUACACACCACUCCCGAGUUCAACCUAAGGAGAUAAAAGAAAGGAAAUGGGCAGAAAUGAGAGGAAAGUAAGAGAGAUUGAUGCUCCCAAGUUUCAUUAAAGGAAGGAAGUGGAAGGAAAUGGAAGGAUCACUUUCCCUCCGAACUUUCCUUCCGAUUUGCGAGGAUUUGAAAAGAAAAAAUAAAAUGUUUAACUUUUCUUCCAUUUUCUCUCCAACUCAGGAGCAAAAAAGACAAUUUUUUUUUUCCUUUCUUUUCUCUUCUUUUCUCUCCUUACUUUCUUUUCUAUUCUCUUCUUUUCUUUGCUUCAAAUCGGGAGCGGGGUGUUAAUGACACAAGCCUCCCAACCUCCACUGAAAAGAAUAAGAGCUGGUCCCAGGCCGGGAGUGCUAGUAAUAGAACAAGUUCAACCAGUUCGACAACCUACUUCUGCUGCUAUACCAAUCCAAACAACCCAACAAGAAUGAACCCAAGAAGGACCAAGUGGUGUCAGAUCUUCAUUCGAAACCGGGAGUUCUUCUGAUCCUGGGGGUUCUCCUGUUGGGUUUUGAGCAUUCUAACACUCCUAUGGUGUACAUGCAACCCUAUAAACCUUGGAUCUAUGUUUUCUCUANUUCCAAGGUAUUACCCUAAGCUAGCAUACAAUCUUUUGAUACUUGGGUAACAAAAUGAAUAGAAUACAUACCAUAUUGAUGUAACUUGUCUUCGUGAAGCUUGAGUUCCUAGUGCCCCAAGUGUGACACCUCAAAUGGUUCACACAACACCAUGAACACUUGGAAUAACCUUGAGAAUAAGGAUACUUUGGUUCUCUCUAGUGAAAUUGGCCUUGCCCUUUUUGUGUAAACACACUAGUGCCAAUUUCACCAACCAAGGAAAUCUUUAUAUACUGUGGAGAUUAGGGUUAAACGCUAAUACUCAUGACCUUGCAUUUCAUAUGAUCCAUGGGUUAAACACUCCAUGGACUAUCCAUGAAAGCUUAGCCCAACCUAAAUGAACUUGGCCCAUCACAUACAUAUAUAUAAGAGUCCAUAUUUAAUUAGUUCAUUUUGAUCACUUAAUUAAUUCUUGAUCAAUACUAAUUAAAUAAAUUGAUUCCAUAUUAAUAUAUUAGAACUUAUAAUAUAUACUAAUAUAAUCAUAAAUAUACUAUUCUCAAAAGAUUAUCCAUAUAAAUUGUGCCGGUGAAGUGCAACCCAAAUGAACCAUGCCGGGUCGGGUCAAGUACAUACCAAAUAUAGUUAUGGACUUAGACAUUAAUCCAACAGUCUCCCACUUGGAUAAGUCUAAAACUAUUAUUGAGUAUGACUUCAAAACCUAACUGGCAAUCGUAGCUCUUAAAGCCGCUGUCGAACUCUGAUCUUGUCAACGAACUUGUCCAUUAGAUAAGGGAUCAUAUAUUCCUCCAUUCUAGAUAUCAUAUGGACUGAGACAUGGAUUAUAAUCAUUCUCUCUGUCCAUUUGUUGUUUCCCGAUUUCCGAUUUAUGACGACUGACUAAUUGAACAAAUCAAAUCAGUCCUGGCCCGGCCGAGCACUUCCAUUUGUCAUCAUCAAAUCAUCGAGGGGCCCACAGAUAUCGCUUUUAUCCCGAAGGUAAAAGGAAUGGAUAAACUUCGACUCAUAUGGCUUGUUCUGCUACUUGUUGAAUCAUACACAAAGGCACGUUUUAUAACAUCGAGUUACCAAUGCGUUUUCGUGCAAUCAAUGUACUAUCAACUCAUAGUAACAACUCAUAUCUCUAGGUUUGAAGAAUAUAAGAUAUUAUCGUCUCAUGAUCACUCGUGAUAAAAUCCAUGAAGUGAUUCAAAUGAGCGCGGGUUGAAUCCAAUACUCGGAACUUAUGAGCAGUCAUGAGUGUUGUAGCAGAACUUUGUCCACCAACUUGGACCUCUACAAGCCAACCGAUGACAGUCUUGAUUCAUAUCUACUUCCAACAUAUGACCGACUGUGGAUGGUUUGAAUAACUUAUUCAUUACGGAAGAAUAACCUAGUUAUUAUGGAAGUCAAAACAUGAAAAGUGAAACACAAGAAUAAAUGAAUCUAAUAUGGUAUCAAAACCUAUGAAUAUAAAUAAAACACUUUCUAUUUAUCACCAUACUGAUUACUCAUUAUUAAUUGUUUCGGUUUUAUCAACUUUAUACUUGAAUUAAAACACUAGUUAUCCCAUGCUCCAAGCAUGUACACUAUGUUUUCUAAACAGUAGUUUUGCCAUACGCCAAGUAUGCACUAUAUGUUUGUCUAUGAUCCUUACUUUUUUGUAAUAAACCAAUUGACCAAACUUUCAAUGAUUCUAACUUCACACUCCCAAAUUGAAAUCUGUUAGAUUUUAAACUUAAAUGCACUACUCUCUUGCAAUGAAUGUGUACAAAGUCACAAAGACUUGUUAACAACCAUUACAAGGUAUUCCAAUGAAGACCUACUCCAUGGUCACAAAGCCUUAUGUUCAAAGUAUGCAUUGCUUUGAACAUGCUUCUUGCACUAAGUUUUUUCUAAUCUUACACAGAUUGCUUCUAUCUAUGAAGACAACUCUAUCUUCCCAUUUUGACAAUCACUUCUAAACAAGAGUUGCCUUUUUUCAGACUAUGUCAAUGUGGUCCUUCCAAUAUUAACAGUAUACUUGCAACUGUCCUUAAGCAACCAAUAUUUGGUAAACCUCAGAUUGUCCUUGACAAUUGCUUAAUCACUUUAGUCAUAUCCAAUUCUAGACAUUGUUCCCCUUAAUGCCCCAAGGCAUUUGGAAAAUUCAGAAAGGAUAAAUAUUAUAGCACAUGUAAUCGAUCUUGUACCAAAGUAAAUGGGACACGAUUCAUGAUGUUUCAUAUAAAGACAUGGUUCUAGACCAGUCUUUUGCCAUAAUAAUUUUUUGUUUGCUAUAUUCUCAAAAUUUGACUAUGAAAAGGGAUGUCGUAAUCAUAAUCGAAUUUUAAGAACGCAAUAUAUAUAAUUUUUCAUAAGUUGAACAAAUCCAACAUGAAAUUUAUAUAUAUAUANNNNNNNNNNNNNNNNNNNNNNNNNNNNNNNNNNNNNNNNNNNNNNNNNNNNNNNNNNNNNNNNNNNNNNNNNNNNNNNNNNNNNNNNNNNNNNNNNNNNNNNCUUUUGUUUUCUAUAAUUAACAUUGCUAACUUGCAAUACUUAUCAUAAUUAUCAUGCUCCCACUAACAUGAUGAUUAUUAGCAUAACACUUAUGCUCCCACUAGCUUUGACAUGUACCCAGAAAUCAACUGGACUUCUAGAAAUCAAUACUUUAUUGACUUUCUUACCAAAGUUCAGAUUUCUGACACUAGAUUGCCUUGAUAAGACUUUAUCAAUAUCAUACACCUCUCUUAGAUAGCUCACAUGUGUGUCUAAACAAUUAUGAAGAGGGAUGUCGUAAUCAUAAUGUUUAGACCUUUUGUCAUUCCCACAAUUGCUAUCUACUCAAAAUCUACUUAGUGAAAGAGUUUCCUUACCAUCAUUUUCAUGAAUCAAAGAGAAACCUUAUGACAGUUAGAUUUUAUGGUGUAAGUGUUCAUAUCCAUGUGAAUUUGUCAAAACCAUAAUCACAAGACUAGGUUAGUGACAAAUCCUAACUCAUAUGGAUUGAACUUGUGCAAUCUUAACUUCUUGCUACAUGGCAGCUUAAGGGCCUGCCAUUGGUUCCAAAUAUCUAUGCAAACAAUUAAGAACAUGUAGAACUCAAAUAUAUAGCCAACUUAAUUGGAAUGGGCACAGAAAUGUCAACACGAUAGGUUAGAAAACUCUAGUUGUGUGCUAGUGAUGAAAUACAUGUUUUUAUUCUUGAUUACUUCUUAAAACCCUUUCAGUAUCUUUUAGACACCCACUGUCUCCUUGACCUAUAAGAACUUCUUGCCAAAUAUUCAAGAGAUAGUGUGCAUUCUAAUCAAGACAGACAAUUAACACAAUUAGCCUUAGUUGGUCUUUGUUUUAUCCAAAAUAUCACAACUUACCAAUUUGAAAUUUACAAGAGUAGAAAACUUUUACUCUUACAUUUGACAAGUGUUUUAAACCUUCUUUAAGAUAUGUCACUCAAGUUACAAUCUUAGAGUAUAAGUCUAUGAAUUGUUUUUGGAACAAAGUAUGAAUCAUCUUCUUGAUUUAACCACUUCAACAAUUCAUAACUCCUCUUCUUAACUAUCAUAAUGCACUUAGAGGAUGAAUUUUGAUAAGGUCUCAAAAUCAUUAACAUGAUCUUAAAACAUGAUACUAAAUUACUCUCCCAUCUUUUCAAAUUUGAGAAACUUUUAUCCUUCUGCCUAAUUUGAUACUUCUUAUUCGUUUUGUCAUACAUUGAAAUUUUCGAAUGUUUCAGAAUUAUACUUAAGCUUGUAAGUAUGAUCAUAUUUACUAAACCUUAGUAAAUCAUGAUGAAUAGUCUUAUCCAUCUUUUGUGGUGGACUUUGAAAAGUGCACAAGAAGGUGUACUUGAUUCCUUAGUCCUUCUCUUAAGUCACAUAUACAUGUGAACACGGAACUAGUCUUAAUUUUCCAAAGUUGAAAAUUCUCCCACAUCACACUAAACACCUUGUAUGAUUCCAAGUUUCGGUCCAAUUGAAACUUGGGUGAUGAGAAUAUUUCCUUAUUUGGUAAAUUUAGACACUACCACAAAUGAAAGAAUCAAAUUCAUAUUUCCAAUGUUGCUAGAAACAUACAGACAUCAAGUUUUCAUAAAUGCCAUUGUAAGGAGAUAAAAAAAAAUAAAGUAAAACAAACUUUUAUUUAUUUUAAAGUGCGGAAAAAACUUUUUCCUUACAAUGUAACUUGAAAUGAAAACUAUGCUAUUACAUGUUUCCUAGCAAUCUAUCAUAACUCCUAAGAAGUAGCUCAGGAAUCCAAUCUUCAAUCAGGCGAUAGAAAUCUAUCUUCGUGGUCAGAUUCAUCAUACUCUUUCUCUAAGUUUCCUUCACUUUCCCUUUGAUUCUUAAAACACCAACAUGUGACCCAGUCACAUCAUGUAAUAAGAAACUCAGAAUAGAAACUUAACCGAGUUAGAGAGUGGACUUUAUCCGAAAGUAGAGUCAAACUUAUUGACUUUACCAUCCUUAGGUAAGUUUGGCAGCUUCGUAACCAAAGCCCUUUCCUUUUUGGAAAUAGAACCAUAUGGAUCCUUUGGAAUGGUGCAUGGGAUAAUCUCAAACUUAGCCUUUCUCUUUACCAUUUGGUAAACCGAGUUGACUAUGGCCGAUCCCUGUCCAUUGGGGAGAGAAUGCUUUUUUCUGGAUUUCCAAUGUCACCAUUUUCAAUGUCCAUAAAGUUUUGGGAAGUCGAUCUUCUAAUCAAAUUUGCUUUAGAAAAGAUCGUUAAGGGUCUUGUCACAGUCUGUUUCAUAGGAGUUCCAAAGGAACUCACUAUGUGACUUAGAAAGUGAUUGAACCACUAACUUUCUCAUGACUUUGACACCCAACUCUCCCGGCUUGUCAAUAUGUGACUUCAUCUCCAAGAUGUGAUCACAACUAGACCUUGCCUUGCCAAUAGGGCUUGAGUGACCUUGAACUUGUAGGUUAGGGAGAAUAAUUGGAAGAGGUGGAGGAAGUGAAGUUCCAAGAGAUUUGGGAAGAUCAUAGAUGCCUGAACUAGAUAUCUUUUAGGAGAUAUUCAAGAUAGUUGAUUUAAAGUCCUUAAUAUAACACCCAAUAUGAAAUAUUAAGGCUAGGACCCAACAAAAUAUUUUAUAACUUGGAAGAGGGAUGCCGUAAUCCAAGCUAUAGAAUAUUUGAAGGUAGGUGAAUGACGAUUCACCAAUUUCCACCAAGAAAAACGAAAUAAAUUAUUAAGUUUUAAUUUGUUUUGAAACCCCUAGUUCUUUUGAGAUUCAUUGAAAAUUUUCAAUGGCAUGUUUCAAUCUCGAGUGUGCCCAUCAGGUUUUGUGAAUGGGAUGUUGAGGAUCACAAAACAAGGUGUGAAGUAACCAUGCAAAUUACUUGGUACCCUUAAGUGUUUACCCCUCAAUCGAUGUGCCGGUUAACCACACACGCUCCAUCAAUACUAUGAUAAACAUUAAGUUACCCUUUGCCUACCUUGUUAAAUACGAGUUAAUGUGCCGGUUAACCACACACGCUCCACUAACCGACUUAAACAAAGUGCAAAGUGUAAUUUCAUGGAUUAGCACCUUAUUCACAUUUUCCUAAGUAACUAAGAUUGGGUAUUUAUAAAAGGUUUAGUUACUUAGUAUUUAUCAUUAAUACCUUUAAUGAAGGGAUAAUUUAUAGUCUUUGUCCUACCCGUUCGGCUAACGACCCUCCACCAGUCAAGGAAGCGGUGGGUGAGAGUGGACACCCAUUAAACUGCCAUUUUAUAGGCAGUAACCUUAUACCC
rnacentral:lncRNA from 1 species